AACGAACGGUGGCGGCGUGGAUAAGACAUGCAAGUCGAACGGGAUUUUACUUGUAGCAAUACAAGUGAAGUUCAGUGGCGCAAGGGUGCGUAACACGUGGGCAAUCUGCCUGGGAGCGCGGGAUAGCUUGGCGAAAGCCAAAUUAAUACCGCAUGUGGCUAUUGGAGGAUUCUCCGAAACGCUAAAGACGGCGCAAGCUGUCGCUCCUGGAUGAGCCCGCGGCCUAUCAGCUAGUUGGCGAGGUAAAAGCUCACCAAGGCGAUGACGGGUAGCUGGUCUGAGAGGACGACCAGCCACACUGGAACUGAGACACGGUCCAGACACCUACGGGUGGCAGCAGUCGAGAAUUUUUCNCAAUGGGCGCAAGCCUGAAGGAGCGACG
rnacentral:rRNA from 1 species